UACGUAGGGGGCUAGCGUUGUCCGGAAUCAUUGGGCGUAAGGCGCGUGUAGGCGGUCCGGUAAGUCCGCUGUGAAAGUCGGGGGCUCAACCCUCGGAUGCCGGUGGAUACUGUCGGGCUUGAGUACGGAAGAGGCGAGUGGAAUUCCUGGUGUAGCGGUGAAAUGCGCAGAUAUCAGGAGGAACACCUAUUGCGAAGGCAGCUCGCUGGGACGUUACUGACGCUGAGACGCGAAAGCGUGGGGAGCAAACAGG
rnacentral:rRNA from 1 species